GACGAACGUUGGCGGCGUGCUUAACACAUGCAAGUCGAACGGAAAGGCCCUGCUUUUGUGGGGUGCUCGAGUGGCGAACGGGUGAGUAACACGUGAGUAACCUGCCCUUGACUUUGGGAUAACUUCAGGAAACUGGGGCUAAUACCGGAUAGGAGCUCCUGCUGCAUGGUGGGGGUUGGAAAGUUUCGGCGGUUGGGGAUGGACUCGCGGCUUAUCAGCUUGUUGGUGGGGUAGUGGCUUACCAAGGCUUUGACGGGUAGCCGGCCUGAGAGGGUGACCGGCCACAUUGGGACUGAGAUACGGCCCAGACUCCUACGGGAGGCAGCAGUGGGGAAUAUUGCACAAUGGGCGGAAGCCUGAUGCAGCAACGCCGCGUGCGGGAUGACGGCCUUCGGGUUGUAAACCGCUUUCGCCUGUGACGAAGCGUGAGUGACGGUAAUGGGUAAAGAAGCACCGGCUAACUACGUGCCAGCAGCCGCGGUGAUACGUAGGGUGCGAGCGUUGUCCGGAUUUAUUGGGCGUAAAGGGCUCGUAGGUGGUUGAUCGCGUCGGAAGUGCAAUCUUGGGGCUUAACCCUGAGCGUGCUUUCGAUACGGGUUGACUUGAGGAAGGUAGGGGAGAAUGGAAUUCCUGGUGGAGCGGUGGAAUGCGCAGAUAUCAGGAGGAACACCAGUGGCGAAGGCGGUUCUCUGGGCCUUUCCUGACGCUGAGGAGCGAAAGCGUGGGGAGCGAACAGGCUUAGAUACCCUGGUAGUCCACGCUGUAAACGGUGGGUACUAGGUGUGGGGUCCAUUCCACGGGUUCCGUGCCGUAGCUAACGCUUUAAGUACCCCGCCUGGGGAGUACGGCCGCAAGGCUAAAACUCAAAGGAAUUGACGGGGCCCCGCACAAGCGGCGGAGCAUGCGGAUUAAUUCGAUGCAACGCGUAGAACCUUACCUGGGUUUGACAUGGAUCGGGAGUGCUCAGAGAUGGGUGUGCCUCUUUUGGGGUCGGUUCACAGGUGGUGCAUGCCUGUCGUCAGCUCGUGUCGUGAGAUGUUGGGUUAAGUCCCGCAACGAGCGCAACCCUUGUUCACUGUUGCCAGCACGUUAUGGUGGGGACUCAGUGGAGACCGCCGGGGUCAACUCGGAGGAAGGUGGGGAUGACGUCAAGUCCUCAUGCCCCUUAUGUCCAGGGCUUCACGCAUGCUACAAUGGCUGGUACAGAGAGUGGCGAGCCUGUGAGGGUGAGCGAAUCUCGGAAAGCCGGUCUCAGUUCGGAUUGGGGUCUGCAACUCGACCUCAUGAAGUCGGAGUCGCUAGUAAUCGCAGAUCAGCAACGCUGCGGUGAAUACGUUCCCGGGGCU
rnacentral:rRNA from 1 species